UACGUAGGGGGCGAGCGUUGUCCGGAUUUACUGGGCGUAAAGGGCGCGUAGGCGGCUUUGUAAGUCGGCAGUGAAAGGCACCGGCUCAACCGGUGGACGGCUACCGAAACUGCAGGGCUUGAGUGCAGGAGAGGGGAGUGGAAUUCCUGGUGUAGCGGUGGAAUGCGUAGAUAUCAGGAGGAACACCCGUGGCGAAGGCGGCUCUCUGGCCUGCAACUGACGCUGAGGCGCGAAAGCUGGGGGAG
rnacentral:rRNA from 1 species